rnacentral:rRNA from 1 species
GCCGACCUGAGAGGGUGAUCGGCCACAUUGGGACUGAGACACGGCCCAAACUCCUACGGGAGGCAGCAGUAGGGAAUCUUCGGCAAUGGACGAAAGUCUGACCGAGCAACGCCGCGUGAGUGAAGAAGGUUUUCGGAUCGUAAAACUCUGUUGUUAGAGAAGAACAAGGAUGAGAGUAACUGUUCAUCCCUUGACGGUAUCUAACCAGAAAGCCACGGCUAACUACGUGCCAGCAGCCGCGGUAAUACGUAGGUGGCAAGCGUUGUCCGGAUUUAUUGGGCGUAAAGCGAGCGCAGGCGGUUUCUUAAGUCUGAUGUGAAAGCCCCCGGCUCAACCGGGGAGGGUCAUUGGAAACUGGGAGACUUGAGUGCAGAAGAGGAGA